GCCAUACUUAAAUAUAUAUAUAUAUUAAAAAGCAUACCUUAGCAGUGACAGUCUCUUUCUUAAUGCUUGUAAGUGAGAAGUUGGUGGUCUUUAGCUUUACUGUGAGCAGCCAUUCCAGGGGCAGGUACUUACGUGUAUACUUAAUAUUCAAUUUAGAACAAAGACAAUGAUUUAGAGUUCAGAGGGGGAUGCUUGUCUGUAUGGGAACUGUUGAAUCAUGGCCCGAACCUCUGAUUGAGCACCUGAGGCAAACACUGAGUCAGCCACGGGAGCACAGGUGAAGGAAAUUCAGCUGUGUGACCAGAAGGGGUGGAGCCAGACUCCACCUCUCCUAGACCCCAUUUAAGGGCUGACUGCCACUAAGGAAGGAUCUCUUCUUGGAGAUUGCUCCUCAUGGAGUUUUUGUGAGCCUAUGAUGUUGGAACUCGGCGAUACCCCUCAGUUAUGAGAGCGUCCAUCAGCAACUCUCCAGUUUCCUGUGAAAGCCACCAGAUCUGAAUAGAAACGCGAAGUUGAUCCAUCUCCUUUCUGUGUGCUCUUCAUUCUUUUUGAGCUCACCAGGGCUUUUGCACAGCAGAUUAAGAAAGGGAAGGACAACAAAGAUGAAUAAUGGACUGGAGUAUGUCUUCUGUUGGGAGAGGCUGAUGGAUUUUGGACUGUUCAGCCUCGAUGAGAGGAGGCUCAGGAGGAUCUUACCAAUGUCUGUAAAUACAUGAAGGAAGAGCAUAAAGAUGAUGGAGCCAGGACAAGAGCACAUUUUUGUGAAACAAAGCGCCUUCACUUUUUUUCUGCUGUUGUAAUUGAUUCCUAAGAGAUCAUGACUGCUAGCAAGAUUUUUAAAAAUUCCUAGGAGUUAGUCUGUUAGGUUUCCUUUAAUAAUAUGUUUACAGAGGGAGAGGGAGUGAGAGAAAGACAGAGACUUUUUUUUUCAUACAAUUCAAACCACUUUUCCUGUUUUCAAGAAUCAAUAUGACAAAAUUCUGCGUGCACCAAUGAAAUCUGGAAUGACAGAAUGGGGACACAGGAAUAUUACUUUCGUACGAGUAUGAGACUGAAGUCUCUAGACUGAAGUAUCAUACUUGGUAAAUGAAGAAGUUGCUUGUGUAUACUUGAUCGGAAUCUUGCUGAUCUGGUAUCUUGUGGUUAUGGACUUUACAGCUAGCAUGUUUAAAAUUUUCACUCAAGCUUCAUCUUUAAAUUCUGGUGCUUUAUGUUGUAAUGAUUGUGCUUUAAACCCUUUUAAAAAUAUAGACAGUAAAUAAAGAAUGCCGCCUUCACUAAAAUAAAGGGUCUCUGAAAGUUCUAAUGAACAAAUAAACGUGCCCUCCCUAGAUCAUGUGGCUUUGAGUUGCAGUAGGAAUCUUUGCUUCCAAGGAUUUGUUUUUCUGGGAUGGAGGGAGUUGACCCCGAAAACUCU
ensembl:lncRNA